rnacentral:lncRNA from 1 species
CACCAACACAGCAGAGGAGCACUUCACAGCACUUGACCUCGUCACCUUCUAGAAGGAUGUUACUCAUUUGUUUACAAGUCAUGUCCUGCUGCAGUUCAGACAAGAAAUACGAGCAAUCAGAAAAACAAAGUCUCUUACUUCUUUGGGCAAUCCUAGAAGUGUUAUCUCACAUCUAGAGAUAAUUACAUUCUCAUAAAGUCUAAG